GCCUCGGUGGUUUAAUUGUAGUAACCCCCGUCCUCGGAUGGAUAUAACGCGAGUUCGAUUCCCGCUUGAGGCC